ACCCCGCAAUAAAGCUGUUUAAAAAAUAAAGUAUGUUAGUAAAAGGAAGAAAAAAAUCACCCAUAAUCCUCUCAUCAAGAAAGAACCACUGGAGAUAUCUGGUGCAGAGGGUGCCUGUGUGUGUGACUGUGUGCGCACAUGUGCACCUACAUACACAGAAGUUCAGUCUUUUGGAUGAAAAUUGGCUCACUCUAUGCACUUUAUGGUAACCCAUGUCCUUAUUCAAUCACAUGACGGGCCUUUGUCUUCAAGUCAUUAAACAUACCCCACUAAGGAUGAUGGUUUCCUCUGGGGAAGAUCAGAAUCACCCAAGGUGCCUUUAACAACAGACAGAGCCCUAGGCGCCCCCUGCAGACUCUCACCGGGGAAGUCUGACGUGGGAUCAACAGCAUCUUACAUGGCUUUUUGAGUUGUUAUUCCUUUAAUGCCACGUUGUUGAAAACGGAGACAUUUCAAAUGUCUUCCUGUUAUAAAUAACGUGUCUCAUGGUGACUAAAGACAUACUGGCCCUGCUCUUGUGCUGCUCACAGUCUAGCCGGAUAGCACUUGGGAGAGCGCCUGCACAGGGUAGGCACCCAGAGAGUGCCUGCUGCAGCAAGGUCCGUGACGGGCAGGUGGGUUGAGUCACACACUCCCUGGGGUGUAGUAAACAAGCUGUAACAAGCACAUAAUUAUCCCCAAAGGAGAAUUCUGUCCUUUUUCCUUCUAAGUACAUUUGAACAUUAUGAGCUUUUAAUUAAAGCGAAGGCAGGUGUCACUCUGCACUAAGACAAUACAUAACAAAUGAGGGUGCAGACGGUGCGAACAGGAUUUGGGUGUUUAUAACGCAAGGUAAUUGUGACGCUGUUCUACGAAAUGCAUUUUGUUCUUGAAACUGAAAUUGACGUUGAUGUCUUUUCAAAGCCUUAUGCAUUUUAACUUGCGCAGAGCCUUCUUUCCCAGUUCUCAGUGCUCUGCCAGGAGCACUGGGGAUCAGGACAUUCUGGGAGCCGAGCCGAGGAUGAGCUGUGGCUGAGCUCCCAUAAUGAGAUGGUCCGGCUCCCAAGCCUGUCCCGUGUGGGCAGCACCGGGGCAUCUGGAGUCUGAGUGCAGAGGGGAGGAAGGGAGGGAGGGAGCUUGGCUCAGAGCAGCCUCACAGCAAACAUCCCUGACACAGCCUCCUCGGCCUAUCCUGGGUGAGAGUCCCCUCGGGACCUGGCACAAGACACCAGCUCCCAGGGACAGCGUCCACCGGCGCCCGCCUGGCAGGUUAUCCAUGGCUUUGUGAGUGCUGACCCACAGCAGGGAGAGCAAUCCCAGGCCACGUGAAAGGUGAACAGAACACGCUCCCAGGACAGAAAGUCCCGUGCAGCAUCAGUCUCCUCGUUCCACUACAACCUGGUGAGGGUCCCGGCCUCGUCUUCCUCUGGGCUGUCAGCAGUGGGUGCAGUAAACGGGAGUGUUCCCUUGUCUAACAGCAGCUCACCCCGAUUCUGGAGAUGUCCAGGGCCCCCUACCACCUGGGGGCCUCUCCACGUCCUAGCUCGGCAGUUACCGCAUCCCAGCUGAGCCCCACCUCCGCUAACAGGAGGGGCCCACACAGGCCUCUGCAGCAGGACGUAACCUGGGGAGAUUUAUGAAGCAAGUCAACGAGGAACUUCCGCACAAGCUCUUUUUUAUCUAAGAGAUGAAGCCUUCACUGCAAAACAUU
ensembl:lncRNA